rnacentral:rRNA from 1 species
UACGUAGGGUGCGAGCGUUGUCCGGAAUUAUUGGGCGUAAAGAGCUUGUAGGCGGUUUGUCGCGUCUGCUGUGAAAUCUCAAGGCUCAACCUUGAGCUUGCAGUGGGUACGGGCAGACUAGAGUGAUGUAGGGGAGACUGGAAUUCCUGGUGUAGCGGUGAAAUGCGCAGAUAUCAGGAGGAACACCGAUGGCGAAGGUAGGUCUCUGGGCAUUAACUGACGCUGAGGAGCGAAAGCAUGGGGGAGCGAACAGG